GAUGAACGCUGGCGGCGUGCCUAAUACAUGCAAGUCGAGCGAAUGGAUUAAGAGCUUGCUCUUAUGAAGUUAGCGGCGGACGGGUGAGUAACACGUGGGUAACCUGCCCAUAAGACUGGGAUAACUCCGGGAAACCGGGGCUAAUACCGGAUAAUAUCUUGAACCGCAUGGUUCGAAAUUGAAAGGCGGCUUCGGCUGUCACUUAUGGAUGGACCCGCGUCGCAUUAGCUAGUUGGUGAGGUAACGGCUCACCAAGGCAACGAUGCGUAGCCGACCUGAGAGGGUGAUCGGCCACACUGGGACUGAGACACGGCCCAGACUCCUACGGGAGGCAGCAGUAGGGAAUCUUCCGCAAUGGACGAAAGUCUGACGGAGCAACGCCGCGUGAGUGAUGAAGGCUUUCGGGUCGUAAAACUCUGUUGUUAGGGAAGAACAAGUGCUAGUUGAAUAAGCUGACACCUUGACGGUACCUAACCAGAAAGCCACGGCUAACUACGUGCCAGCAGCCGCAGUAA
rnacentral:rRNA from 1 species